CGGUCGAGCCCUCUGCGACGCAUACCGGUGAACCCCGCGAGGCCCGGAAGGGAGCAACGGUAAGCUGGUCCCUGCGGGUGAUAGAGGACCCCUUGGCCUGAGC
rnacentral:SRP_RNA from 1 species